rnacentral:rRNA from 1 species
UACGUAGGGGGCAAGCGUUGUCCGGAUUAUUGGGCGUAAAGAGCGUGUAGGCGGCCUUACAGGUCAGCUGUGAAAACUCGAGGCUCAACCUCGAGACGUCGGUUGAAACCGUAAGGCUAGAGUCCGGAAGAGGAGAGUGGAAUUCCCGGUGUAGGCGGUGAAAUGCGCAGAUAUCGGGAAGAACACCCCGUGGCGAAGGCGG